rnacentral:sRNA from 1 species
UCAGUGUGACCUGACGCAAACUUUAUUAAUGUUCUUAUUACUAUCUAGCAACAUAUAACAUUAUAUCUGACAACAUUACAAGUUUUGGCAACAUAAGAUUACAUAAAUAUCGAUAACAAUGUGGUAUUUAUUACAAUUAAUUAAAAAAUUUUUUUUUUUCUUGCUUUAAUUUAAUUUUAUUUUAAGAUUAAGCUCAGGUUAGCCCGCUCGGCCGAGUGGCUGCUGGUCCGGCCACCGAGGAUGCGUUGCCUGUGGAUUGGCUCGAUCAACCGAGUGGCUGCUGGUCCGGCCACCCGGGAUGCGUAUGGGUCUGGAGGAUGUUUUGACUUUUGAUGUGCGGAGAAUUUGGUUUGCUGCCGAUUUGGU